CUGGGGUUUGAGUUUGAGCUCAGGUCGGCCUCCAGCAGUGUCUCGGAAAGCUCAGAGAGAAGUCAGGCAGUGAGGUGACCAGAUGGGGAGUCGGGGUGGGUUGGCUGUCCCUUCCUCCCUAACGCUCGCCUUCUGAUUCUUCUUAGAGGGCUGGUAAGGCUCCCAGGACUGGCAUUCAGGCCUUGGCAUGCCAGAGGAUCAAAAGAAACUGCCCGUCCUUUCAUGCAAUUGAUACAAGAAGCAACAGAAAUUGCAGCUUGCUUUCAGUGGGACGUUAGAACUUGUGGAAGGAGCCAUCACCCAGGGAGCUCAGCUGAAGCGUCAGGGCUCAGGCCCAGCUUCCACGCACAUGCUGCUUCCCGGUUUGCUGACGUCCUCUGUGCUGAGAGCACCAUGUCACUCCUCAGCUGACAUCACUCUGGAUUGGCAGCCAGGGCCAUGAGCUCUUGUUUUGUCAACAACCCUCCCCCUCUUUUUGCUCUUUCCUGGCUAUGUGGUGGACUCUUCAGGGACACAGCAAUCACUGCGCUGCAGGGACAGUCCCCAAGUACCAAGGAGCAGCCUAAAGGGGCCUGUUCCCACCAUGGCAUCCAUGACAAGAACCAGGAGCCAGAAUGCAGGUUUCUGGGACUUGUCAGCUCCCUUCUGAGUGCCCUGUUGAGGAUUCCUAGAAGUCCAGACACCUCACCCCCCCAACCUGGAUGGACCACGCAGAGCCAAUAGGAAUACUUUUCUGUGGACGUGCCAUGUUGGAAUUCCAGACCUCCCUGCCCUGCCAGCCCCUGCCAGCUUCCUGGGGGCCCCAACUGACCCUGAAGAAAGCCUCUGAUGGGCCUAGAACAGAGAAGGUGACCCAGGACCUUGCCCAGCCUUUCUGGACAACUGGAAGACAGUGACGCUUCGUCCUCCACCUCUCCCUCCAAUAAAAGGAUCUUAGCAAGUGUUGGAGAGGUGCUGAAGUCGUAUUAGGACCAACCAGACUUUUUCUUUGAGGAUACUCAGAAGGAGUGAAGGAGAAUGGAACAGGGGGUGUGAAUAAAUGAGCUUUCUCCAUGUGUGAUUCAAAGUGGUUUAACCCAUGCCUCACCUUCUAGAACACCCGUGGCCCUCUCUAGCCGUGAGAAGUGUCACCACUAGCCAUCAAAAUGCUCACAAAAGUCCAACCUUUGACCAAACUACAUUUCAGAUUUUCAUUUCAGAUUUUCUUAAAUUCUGGAGAAAAAAGAAAAUAAAGUAAAAGAAUAAAUA